GACGAACGCUGGCGGCGUGCUUAACACAUGCAAGUCGAACGACGUGGCGAACGGGUGAGUAACGCGUAAUCAACCUGCCCGUAAGUGGGGGACAACUGUUGAAAAUGACUGCUAAUACCGCAUACUGAAGGUGGGAAUUGGGUCUGAUUAGCAAGUUGGCGGGGUAACGGACCACCAGGGCGAUGAUCAGUAGCCGGUGUGAGAGGAUGACCGGCCAAUAUGGGACCGUGACACGGCCCAUACUCCUACGGGAGGCAGCAGUGGGGAAUCUUCCGCAAUGGACGAAAGUCUGACGGCGCAACGCCGCGUGAUGGAUGACGGCCGUCGGGUUUUAAAGCUCUGUUAAUCGGGACGCGGUACCGGAAUAGAAAGCCACGGCUAACUACGUGCCAGCAGCCGCGGUAAUUC
rnacentral:rRNA from 1 species